CAAAGUGGGGGACCUUCGGGCCUCAUGCCAUCAGAUGUGCCCAGAUGGGAUUAGCUAGUAGGUGGGGUAACGGCUCACCUAGGCGACGAUCCCUAGCUGGUCUGAGAGGAUGACCAGCCACACUGGAACUGAGACACGGUCCAGACUCCUACGGGAGGCAGCAGUGGGGAAUAUUGCACAAUGGGCGCAAGCCUGAUGCAGCCAUGCCGCGUGUGUGAAGAAGGCCUCGGGUUGUAAAGCACUUUCAGCGGGGAGGAAGGCGAUAAGGUUAAUAACCUUGUCGAUUGACGUUACCCGCAGAAGAAGCACCGGCUAACUCCGUGCCAGCAGCCGCGGUAAUACGGAGGGUGCAAGCGUUAAUCGGAAUUACUGGGCGUAAAGCGCACGCAGGCGGUCUGUCAAGUCGGAUGUGAAAUCCCCGGGCUUAACCUGGGAACUGCAUUCGAAACUGGCAGGCUAGAGUCUUGUAGAGGGGGGUAGAAUUCCAGGUGUAGCGGUGAAAUGCGUAGAGAUCUGGAGGAAUAC
rnacentral:rRNA from 1 species